UAGGUUUCUAUAGUUGAAUGGACAACAAUGAUUUUUCAUGUCAUAGGUCGUGGAUUUACCACGUAGAAAUA
rnacentral:tRNA from 1 species